GUAAUUUUCAAAGUGCCUUGUGCUGAUUCUCACGGGCCUAGACAUCUGCCCCAGCUCUGCCCUGGAUUGAUAGCUUGUAUCGAUCUUGAUGAAAGAGCAAUUGAUGCUCUCAGGGAAUUUAAUGAAGGAGCUCUGUCUGUACUACAGCAGUUCAAGGAAAGUGACUUAUCACAUGUUUAGAACAAAAGUGCAUUUUUAUGUGGAGUUAUGAAGACCUAUAGGCAGAGAGAGAAACAGGGGAGCUAGGUGCAAGAGUCCACAAAGGGACCUGAUGAAGCAAAGAUCAAGGCCUUGCUUGAGAGAACUGGUUAUACUCUGAACGUAACCACAGGACACAGGAAGUAUGGUGGGCUUCCAUCAAACAGUGUGUACUCUGGCAUGCAACCUGGAAUUGGAACAAAGGUAUUUAUAGGUAAAAUACCAAGAGAUUUAUAUGAGGAUGAGUUGGUGCCCCUUUUUGAGAAGGCCAGUCCCAUUUGGGAUCUAUGUCUUAUGAUAGAUCCACUGUCUGGUCAGAAUAGAGGGUAUGCAUUUAUCACUUUCUGUGGAAAGGAAGCUGCACAGGAAGCUGUGAAACUGUGACAGCUAUGAAAUUCGCCCUUUGGUAAACAACAUGGAGUGCGCAUUUCUGUGGCAAACAACAGACUUUUUGUUGGAUCCAUUCUGAAGAAUAACACUAAAGAAAAUAUUCUGGAAGAAUUCAGUAAAGUCACAGAGGGUUCGGUGGACGUUAUUCUCUAUCAUCAACCUGAUGACAAAAAGAAGAAAUGGGAGUUCUGCUUCCUGGAAUAUGAGGAUCACAAGCCAGAUGCUGGCUGAUGAGUGGAAAAGUAAAAGUAUGGGGAAAUGCAGUUACAGCUGAAUGGACUGACCCUGUGAAGAACCAGAUCCAGAAGUCAUAGCUAAGGUAAAAGUAUUGUUUGUGAGAAAUUUGGGCACAGACGAAAUAUUGGAAAAGUCAUUUUCUGAAUUUGGAGAACUUCAAAGAGUAAAUAAGUUGAAAGAUUAUGCAUUUGUUCAUUCUGAAGACAGAGGAGCAGUCGUUAAGGCUAUGGAUGAAAUGAAUGGCAAAGAAAUAGAAGGGGAAGAACUUGAAAUAGUCUUAGCCAAGCCACCAGACAAGAAAAGGAAAGAGCACCAAGCUGCUAGACAGGCCUCCAUAAGCACUGCAUAUGAAGAUUAUCACUACAUCCUCCUCCUCGCAUGCUGCCUCCGAUUAGAGGUUGGGGGAGAGGUGGAUAUGGCUACCCUCCAGAUCACUAUGGCAGGAAGAUUACUAUGGUUAUUAUUAUCACAACUAUCAUGGAGGUUAUGAAAACUCCCUACUACGGCUAUGAUGAUGGCUAUGCAGUAACAGAAAGAGGAGGAAGGGGAGGGCAGGGUGCUCCACCACCACCAAGGGGGAGGGGAGCACCACCUCCAAGAGGUAGAGUUGGCUAUUAACAAAGGGGGGCACCUUUGGGACCACCAAGAGGCUCUAGGGGUGGCAGAGGGGGUCCUGCACAACAGCAGAGAGGCCGUGGCUGCGGUUCCCGUGGAUCUCGGGGCAAUCAGGAGGCAAUGUAGGAGGCAAGAGAAGGCAGAUGCUUACAACCAACCUGAUUCCAAGCAUCGUCAGACCAACCAGCAGAACUGGGUCUCUCAACCCAUCGCUCAGCAGCCACUUCAGCAAGGUGGUGACUAUUCUGGUAACUAUGGUUACAAUAAUGACAACCAGGAAUUUUAUCAGGAUACUCAUAGGUAACAGUGGAAGUAGACAAGUAAGUGCUUGAAAAUGAUAAUGGCAAGAUACGACUGGCUCUAGAUCUACAUUCUUCAAAAAAAUUUUUGCUUAACUAUUUCAUCUUUAGCAAUUUGCUGCCAUUUAUAUUGGGCUGAAUACAUCACUAUUGUGUAUAUACUCAAGUACGUUUAUUUUUCCUCUUUUCAUAAAUGCUCUUGGACAUUAUUAGGCUUACAGAGUUCUCUUAUUCUGGGAGUUAUAAUGUUUUUAUCACUUCAGGCUUCAUUUUAGCUUCAAAACAAACUGAGCACACUGUUAAGUCAUGAUUUUGCAGAACCUUUGCUUUUGAAGAGUUUCAUUUUUUUGGAUCUAGGAUAAAUUACGUAGAAGUAUGGAGUAUGCUGUAAAUAAAAAUACAAGCUAGUGCUAUGUCUUAGUAGUUUUAAGAAAUUAAAGCAAACACAUUUAAGUUUUCUUGUACCGAAAAUAACCUAUGAUUGUGUUUUGCAUUUUUAGAAGUAGGUUAACUGUGUUUUUAAAUUGUUGUAACUUCACGCCAUUUUGAAAUCUGCCCUACAAAAUUUGUUUGGCUUAAACAUCAAAAGCCAUGACAAUUUGUUCUUUGAUAUGAUUGUAUUUUCAAUUUCUUGUUCAUGUACGAUUUCAAUAAAACUAAAAAAAUCUAUUCAGAAAAAAAAAGAACCAUAGAUUAAAAGUCAACACAACUCCAUUUUCUUCUAACCACUAUAAGUUACUGCAAAUCAUUGACCUUUGAACAAGUCAUUUAAACUCUCCAUGAAAACACAGCUUCACAAUUCUUAGAGGGCUUUCUAAAAGAUUUAAAAUUGAGUGGGGUAGAAGUGAGGCUGGUGCUUUUAAAACUUUCUAACAGGUAUAAAAAGAAUUAGAAAAAACUAACAGAGUCCUUUGACAGCAAUAACUCCCUUACUAAAGAUCAUUCCUAGUGAUUUUGACUAGUCAAAUCAACUGUGCAUUCUAUGUAUCACUUGUGUUACUGAAGGAAAAUACAAUUCUGUUUUACAGUUGUGACAUAUAUUUUGUGUGUGCGUGUGUGUGUGUCUUUGUGUGUGUAUUUGAUCUCCGCCCCCAGUUUCUGGCACAGAACUUCUAAAAACCCUUUGACGUCCUGAGUGAUGGGGUGGUAAGAGCAUUUUUUGUUAUAAUAGUUGGUCUUAUUCUCAGAUUCCUGGCACAGAGCUUGUAAAACUCUUUGAAUUCCCCUAGUGAUCAUAAGCCCCUUUCAACCACACUUGAGUUUACACUAAUAAGGUAAAUCUUGGAGGAUAGAUGCUGGUCACCAGAGGAACCAACCAUGUGAUCAGAGAUUUGGAACUUUAAGCCCUACCCUAGUACCUCUGUGGAGGGGUGAAGGGCUGGAGGUUGAAUUCAAUCACCAAUGACCCAACAUUUAAUAAAUUGUGCCUACAUAAUGGGAAAUCUCCACAAAAAAUCUUAACAAUGAAGUUCUGAGAGGUUCCUGGUCAGUGAACACAAUGAGAUGCUGUGUGGGUGGAGCACCUGGAGAUGGCAUGGAAGCUCUACCUACCUCCCCAUAACUUGUCCUAUGUGUCUCUUCCAUCCAGCUGUUCCUGAGCUGUAUCCUUCACAAUACAUAAUAAUAAAUAGUGUUCUGGAGUUCUGUGAGCUACUGUAGCAAAUUACCUAAUCUAAGGAAAAGGUUGUGUGGAAUCCCUAAUUCAUAACCAGUUGGUCAAAAGUACAGACGACAAUCUGGGACUCGCAACUGGCCACUGAAAUGGAGGCACUCUCAUGGGACCCAGUAUCUAUGGAAUCUGCACUAAGUCUAGGUAAUAUCAGAACUGAAUUGUAGGACACCCACUUGGUGUCCACAGAGAAUUGGGUGAUUAAUUGGUGUAGGAAAAAACCCACAUGAUUGUUGUCAAAAGUGUAAUUAUAGAACAACAGUACGCUUUCCUUUUACUAAUCAAUAUCAACUAACAUUAACAGGCAUAAUAAAUAUUAGAAGGCAUUCUACUGAAAUAAUAAUUCACAAUUUGAACUCUUAGUGACUGAAUUUAACCCUGACAGACAUGGCUUUAAUUAAUUUCAAAUAUAUACUCUGGUUCCUUUUAAAAUAUAUACCAAAUUUUCAAUUUUUGCAGAAACUAUCCUUUAAAUCAGCCUGGGUGGUGGCUCACGCCUGUAAUCUCAGCACUUUGGGAGGCCAAAGCAGGAUGGCUUCUAUGCAGGCAUUAGAGACCAGCCUAGGUAACACAGGGAGACCUCGUCUCUACAAAUU